CCUACGGGACGCACCAGUGGGGAAUAUUGCACAAUGGGCGAAAGCCUGAUGCAGCGACGCCGCGUGAGGGAUGACGGCCUUCGGGUUGUAAACCUCUUUCAGCAGGGAAGAAGCGCAAGUGACGGUACCUGCAGAAGAAGCACCGGCUAACUACGUGCCAGCAGCCGCGGUAAUACGUAGGGUGCGAGCGUUGUCCGGAAUUAUUGGGCGUAAAGAGCUUGUAGGCGGUUUGUCGCGUCUGCUGUGAAAAUCCGGGGCUCAACCCCGGACUUGCAGUGGGUACGGGCAGACUAGAGUGUGGUAGGGGAGACUGGAAUUCCUGGUGUAGCGGUGAAAUGCGCAGAUAUCAGGAGGAACACCGAUGGCGAAGGCAGGUCUCUGGGCCACUACUGACGCUGAGAAGCGAAAGCAUGGGGAGCGAACAGGAUUAGAUACCCGGGUAGUC
rnacentral:rRNA from 1 species